AAUGGGUCAGCGACUUAUAUUCUGUAGCAAGGUUAACCGAAUAGGGGAGCCGAAGGGAAACCGAGUCUUAACUGGGCGUUAAGUUGCAGGGUAUAGACCCGAAACCCGGUGAUCUAGCCAUGGGCAGGUUGAAGGUUGGGUAACACUAACUGGAGGACCGAACCGACUAAUGUUGAAAAAUUAGCGGAUGACUUGUGGCUGGGGGUGAAAGGCCAAUCAAACCGGGAGAUAGCUGGUUCUCCCCGAAAGCUAUUUAGGUAGCGCCUCGUGAAUUCAUCUCCGGGGGUAGAGCACUGUUUCGGCAAGGGGGUCAUCCCGACUUACCAACCCGAUGCAAACUGCGAAUACCGGAGAAUGUUAUCACGGGAGACACACGGCGGGUGCUAACGUCCGUCGUGAAGAGGGAAACAACCCAGACCGCCAGCUAAGGUCCCAAAGUCAUGGUUAAGUGGGAAACGAUGUGGGAAGGCCCAGACAGCCAGGAUGUUGGCUUAGAAGCAGCCAUCAUUUAAAGAAAGCGUAAUAGCUCACUGGUCGAGUCGGCCUGCGCGGAAGAUGUAACGGGGCUAAACCAUGCACCGAAGCUGCGGCAGCGACGCUUAUGCGUUGUUGGGUAGGGGAGCGUUCUGUAAGCCUGUGAAGGUGUGCUGUGAGGCAUGCUGGAGGUAUCAGAAGUGCGAAUGCUGACAUAAGUAACGAUAAAGCGGGUGAAAAGCCCGCUCGCCGGAAGACCAAGGGUUCCUGUCCAACGUUAAUCGGGGCAGGGUGAGUCGACCCCUAAGGCGAGGCCGAAAGGCGUAGUCGAUGGGAAACAGGUUAAUAUUCCUGUACUUGGUGUUACUGCGAAGGGGGGACGGAGAAGGCUAUGUUGGCCGGGCGACGGUUGUCCCGGUUUAAGCGUGUAGGCUGGUUUUCCAGGCAAAUCCGGAAAAUCAAGGCUGAGGCGUGAUGACGAGGCACUACGGUGCUGAAGCAACAAAUGCCCUGCUUCCAGGAAAAGCCUCUAAGCAUCAGGUAACAUCAAAUCGUACCCCAAACCGACACAGGUGGUCAGGUAGAGAAUACCAAGGCGCUUGAGAGAACUCGGGUGAAGGAACUAGGCAAAAUGGUGCCGUAACUUCGGGAGAAGGCACGCUGAUAUGUAGGUGAAGUCCCUUGCGGAUGGAGCUGAAAUCAGUCGAAGAUACCAGCUGGCUGCAACUGUUUAUUAAAAACACAGCACUGUGCAAACACGAAAGUGGACGUAUACGGUGUGACGCCUGCCCGGUGCCGGAAGGUUAAUUGAUGGGGUCAGCGCAAGCGAAGCUCUUGAUCGAAGCCCCGGUAAACGGCGGCCGUAACUAUAACGGUCCUAAGGUAGCGAAAUUCCUUGUCGGGUAAGUUCCGACCUGCACGAAUGGCGUAAUGAUGGCCAGGCUGUCUCCACCCGAGACUCAGUGAAAUUGAACUCGCUGUGAAGAUGCAGUGUACCCGCGGCAAGACGGAAAGACCCCGU
rnacentral:rRNA from 1 species